GCGCCUAUAAAAUGAUCACGUGUAGAUGUAGAAAGUGUUUGUAAACAAUGCCACGUGUUUAUUGCGCAACAAGUCUUUAAUCACUUAACAUACGACUAUAUUUAGUGACAACUGGAAUGUUUUAAUCAACUAAUAGAAGUUCCUGUGUAUGUUUCAUGCACAAAUGCAUGAAUGUUGACGUAUAUUUUCGUUUCCGGCUUUACCAAGUGUGUAGAAUCUAGACGCUACAGUGUUUUUACCUCCAAAUUGAAGAGUUCAAGUGGUACCAUUGGUCAAGAAUAAUGUAUUCGGAAUGGGCGUGACUUUAAUCUUCCGAUAGAUGGCGCAACAUUGAUAUCACACAUGUUAGCUCAAUCUGCCAAGGGUGAAGAGAGCGGGAGUGGAUCGUAACCCUUGGCUAGCGAAGAUGA
rnacentral:lncRNA from 1 species